CCUACGGGUGGCAGCAGUGGGGAAUAUUGGACAAUGGGGGGAACCCUGAUCCAGCGACGCCGCGUGAGUGAAGAAGUAUUUCGGUAUGUAAAGCUCUAUCAGCAGGGAAGAAAAUGACGGUACCUGACCAAGAAGCCCCGGCUAACUACGUGCAAGCAGCCGCGGGAAUACGUAGGGGGCAAGCGUUAUCCGGAUUUACUGGGUGUAAAGGGAGCGUAGACGGCCAUGCAAGUCUGAUGUGAAAACACGGGGCUCAACCCCGGGACUGCAUUGGAAACUGUGCGGCGGGAGUGUCGGAGAGGCAAGUGGAAUUCCUAGUGUAGCGGUGAAAUGCGUAGAUAUUAGGAGGAACACCAGUGGCGAAGGCGGCUUGCUGGACGACGACUGACGUUGAGGCUCGAAAGCGUGGGGAGCAAACAGGAUUAGAUACCCGUGUAGUC
rnacentral:rRNA from 1 species